AUGGAGCUGCUAGGAAUACUCUUUAGGGGACUGACAUUUCAUCUGAAUAUGAAGAAGAGAGAAAGAGAGAAAGAGAGAGACAGAGAGAGGGAAAGAAAGAGAAAGAGAAAGAAAAAGAGAAAAAGAAAGAAAGAAAGAAAGAAAGAAAGAAAGAAAGAAAGAAAGAAAGAAAGAAAGAAAGAAAGAAAGAAAGAAAGAAAGAAAGAAAGAAAGAAAGAAAAAGAAAGAAAGAGAAAGAAAGAAAGAAAGAAAGAAAAGAAGAAGAAGAAGGAAGGAAGGAAGGAAGGAAGGAAGGAAGGAAAGGAAGGAAGGAAGGUAAAAAGGUAAAAAGAAGGUGAGAUAUCUCUGGGGUGAACUUUUUGAGGAGAGUGGUACAGGGCACAGGUUGGAGGAAACUUCAGCCCUCCUGGUUUGUUGUUAGAAAACAGGAAGAUUAAUGUUUUUUACUUUUUAUUUAAAAUCUAUUGGCUGAUCUUGAGUUGGGCAGAGUAGGUUUUAAGUGGGUUUAUUUGUUGGAAUGGCAUAUUUUAGGGUGUUUAAAUGCUUUUUGCAAUUCUUCUCAGCAUAGUUUAGUGCUGAGGUAAUUGCAGGCACAGAUAUCUUAGCCAUCUGUGAUGGUUACUGUUUUUGACCCAAGUCUUCUUUCUAUGGGGUCCAGUGGUGGUCAAGGCCUUAUCAGGUAACAGUACAGGAAUAUCUAAAAAUCAAGCAAAUCAGAAACAGAAAUACUUCUGGAAACUUAGGCCUAGAUACUUGACUUAUCCUUCUGAAUCCUUGGUGGCAAGCUUGAAGACCUUUAAAAUAGUAAUAACAGAAAAAAAAAAAAAAGAAACUCGGAGGACUAACAGACUAAUAUUACUUUGCAGUUGUUUUGCGUAACUAUUUUGUUGCACUCGCCUGACUUCUCAGGUGAGAAUAACUUUGAAUAUUAGUCAGAGUUUUAGCCAGAAAAGCCAUUGCUCAUGUUAAUUGUGCUGGCCAAGGAAAAGCAGUUCUUUCAGAGUAAAACUCAGGGUACUCUGUAGAAUGAUUGGGUCUGUCAACACAUGACAAGGUCUUCAUAUCUUGAGGGGAGGAUCCAGUUGAUGCAUCAAAGUGUCAAUCAGGAUGCAGAGCUGCAGGAAGUUAACUCAUGCGUAUUCCAGGGUUGUCCGGAUCAGAUGAAGAAAGUGCCAAAAGAGGUUACCCUUCAUCACCAGCAGAGAGAUGAGCUAUGUUUGAAAGACAGGACAGCUUGAUGGGCUUUGAAUGGUAAUAUCAGGAGAUGUGUCCCUCAAGAGAUAGAGACAUGCUUCAUGUCCUUGUACAGUCAUUUGAGCAACUUGACAUGAAAAUACUAAAUAAAACAUACAGAAGCCCCA
rnacentral:lncRNA from 1 species